UACGGGGGGAGCAAGCGUUGUUCGGAUUUACUGGGCGUAAAGGGCGCGUAGGCGGUCGUGACAAGUCACUUGUGAAAUCUCCGGGCUUAACUCGGAACGGUCAAGUGAUACUGUCGUGCUAGAGUACAGAAGGGGCAACUGGAAUUCUCGGUGUAGCGGUGAAAUGCGUAGAUAUCGAGAGGAACACCUGCGGCGAAGGCGGGUUGCUGGGCUGAUACUGACGCUGAGGCGCGAAAGCUAGGGGAGCGAACGGG
rnacentral:rRNA from 1 species